UACGGGGGGAGCAAGCGUUGUUCGGAUUUACUGGGCGUAAAGGGCGCGUAGGCGGCCACCGCAAGUCGACUGUGAAAUCUCCGGGCUUAACCCGGAAAGGUCAGCCGAUACUGCGGGGCUAGAGUGCAGAAGGGGCAACUGGAAUUCUCGGUGUAGCGGUGAAAUGCGUAGAUAUCAGGAGGAACACCGGUGGCGAAGGCGGAUCUCUGGGCCUUACCUGACGCUGAGGCGCGAAAGCUAGGGGAGCAAACAGG
rnacentral:rRNA from 1 species